rnacentral:rRNA from 1 species
UACGUAGGGGGCAAGCGUUGUCCGGAAUCAUUGGGCGUAAAGCGCGUGUAGGCGGCUUGGUAAGUCCGCUCUGAAAGCCCGGGGCUCAACCCCGGGAGGCGGGUGGAUACUGUCAAGCUCGAGUCCGGAAGAGGCGAGUGGAAUUCCUGGUGUAGCGGUGAAAUGCGCAGAUAUCAGGAGGAACACCAAUGGCGAAGGCGGCAUCCUGGACCGGCAUUGACGCUGAGGAGCGAAAGCUAGGGGAGCAAACGGG